rnacentral:rRNA from 1 species
GACGAACGCUGGCGGCGUGCUUAACACAUGCAAGUCGAGCGGUAAGGCCCUUCGGGUACACGAGCGGCGAACGGGUGAGUAACACGUGGGUGACCUGCCCUCAGCUCUGGGAUAAGCCCGGGAAACUGGGUCUAAUACCGGAUAUGACCUUCUGUCGCAUGACGGUUGGUGGAAAGUUCUUCGGCUGGGGGAUGGGCCCGCGGCCUAUCAGCUUGUUGGU